rnacentral:lncRNA from 1 species
CAUGGAAGGCCUGAGGUACAGAGUGUUCAUUGGGCGUCUGUGAUCUCGCCCCAUUGGCGGAGGUUCAGAGGUCGACGUUUGACCUAUAUAAUUUUGGCGUAGUUGUAGUAGGAUCGAUCGCCCUGAUGUAAAUUAACUAUUGCACAGCUCUCAUCAAUGGCAUGGCAGGAGAAUGCCGCAAGGCCUUCUUAGUUGUACUAUGCUUUUGACAGAUGAACCGAACACCGACGCCCUACUUGCAAAAUGUUUAAGCAUGUCAAAUGAACUGAAUACUUCAUAAGUACCACUGUACUAUAGUUGUUAUACUAGAUGAUGUGUUGUGUUGGGUGAAUAUAAUUAGAUGAGGACUGGCUGUUUAAGCCUUCUUCUGUAGACGUCCUCACGGAAGAACUUCCAGAAUUACGGAUCAUGUUAUAUGUGUUUUACCCACCCACAGGUGUGAACUUGAAUCAGAAGAAUCAGACACUAGCAGAUGAAAACCAACCUACAAAUAGGUAACCUUGAAGGUAUUCUAUGACCCUCUUUCGCUCAACAACUAAAUCAACAAAAAAGUCAGGAAGAUGUCUCACAACUUCUGAAAUUUUACUUUGUUUAGUUCAAAUAAAUAGGGUGAGGGUCACAAAUUUGCAUCCCUAACGCUACUACUUUUCGACUAAAAAACACCCUACUACCUUUUACCUUCCAAUGCACCCCCUCAGUGUACUUCAAGAUCCGUGCUGACGAACAAUAAGAUUUUGUGUCUGUAGUUCUUCGUGCGGGAAUCCAGAUUAGUUGUCUUCGUAUCCUCAACGGUUGCAAGGAAUAGGGUCGAGAAGCCUAUCGCUGAUGUAUAGCCUAGCGACGCCUUGUGGUGUGAGGAAGCAGGCGGCGUCUGCUUUAGGUGCAAGAAAAGAUGUGGAAAGGGCAUUUGGGAUUAACUGCCACCGUGAUCUUGCACAACAAGACCACUAACAAUAAGUGUGGCCAAGAUUUGGAUUACUACUACGAAUUCAGGUAAGAAUAUGGUGUGUCCAAUUAGAAGGAAAGACCACAUCCGACUCUUUCCAAGUUCAAUACGAAAUUCGAGAUGCAGAAACUCACUAACAUCUUCAAAGAUACCUCAUCGUGGAGUGAUGGACGUGGACGUGGAAUGGAACUUCGUGUUAUGUUUGAUGAGCAAUUGUGUUGAAUUUUAGCUUGUGGGUUGAUGAGCGAUGUAAUAAUUAUGUACUAGAAUGUUGUUUAUUGUUGGAUAAUGCGGCAAAUAAGCCAUGCAAUGGCCAAAAAAAUGUUGACCCAAAUGUGCAACAAACAGAUGAGGUUCUUAGUGCUGCAAAGCUAAAGAAAAAAGAAGUUCAACCAAAAGAAAUGAGGAGAAAGAAAACUCGGCUUGCUAAGUUACUCAAAGGGAAGCGCCAGCCAACUAAAAUUGUUGCAUCCAAAAAAUAAAAGAGCAAAGAUAUGUAGCAAUAUGUGAUAUCUUGUUACCAUUCAUUCCUAAACUACUUACUAGAAUUUUUAUUGCAUCAGCAAAAGAAACAUGAUGGUGUAGAGCCUCAAGUAGGAGUGGAGAAGGAUGGCCGCGAUAGAGGAGCAGAUAUGGAGUUUCAAGAGUGCAACACGAUCAUGAGUGACACGCAACUCUUGACAGCUACCACUUGUGAUGAAGAUAUGUUCUUGCAUGUAUAAGCUUGUUAGAUACUAGUAUUGUGGGCAGUCUUGACUAGUAUUUUGGACAGGGUUGACUACAGUCUUUUGUGGACUAAGUGUACAAGUAAAAGGGCCAAAUCUACGUACUUGAAUGAAUUUAUGUAAGAACAAUUUUCAAUGUUAAGUACUUCAAAAAUUAGUUUGUUCAGACCUACAAAAGAAUCUGUAAUGUGUUAAACUUUCUGUUGUUGUUUCCCUGAACCUGUUAACUGAAUGCCCAUGUGUUAAAAGUGCACGGGUGGUAGUAUUGAGACCUGUACCUGUACAUAAGUAUGACUCAGGUUUUCCUUUUUGCUUGAUGUUCGCUAAACUGAACUGAAGUGGUGGUGUUUGCUAAACUGAACUGAACUGAACUGAACUAAACUGUGUUGUGUCGUUUACAGCCUUGUAAUACUGCCGUUUGCCGAUCUGCUGCUGUUUUGCUGCUGUUUCGAUGAACUGAACUGUAUUAUCUAGUACUCCCUCCGUUCCAAAUUACUCAUCGUGGUUUUAGUUUUAGUUCUUGAACUAAAACCACGACGAGUAAUUUGGAACGGAGGGAGUAUUAUGUUACCUGAACCGAUGUUCUGCUCUGUUCUCUGCCUGAAGAAAUUGGGCUCUGUUGUUUGUUCUCUGAGUCGCGACGGCUGAACCCAUGUUCUACUCUGAAUCAUUGCUGGGCUCGUAGCUACCGGCGGUAAAGAAGCCCACUUUAUUGAGGUGUCAGAUGGGGUCGUCGGAGGGGGCAGAGGAGGCUGUCAAAGGGGGCCGUCGGUGGGGCGAGUGAGCCGUCGAAUUCGGGGCGGAGGGAGUAGCCGGAGGUGGUGGAGAGGGCCUUCGAGGCCGUUUUCUCCAUCGCACGCCGCCGGACUGAGAUCACCCUAGAGGUGCAGCCGGCGCUGCUGGCCGUAGGAUUGAUUUGGACGGUGGAUGGUUGGGGGGCAAUGCGCGCGGAGACUUGAGACCACAGCAAGGCACUGGAUCUCGGCCCGAGCGGCGGCGGGCGGCGAAGACGGCGCGGGCGCUCGCCAUUGCUGCGGCCCGUGGGAGGAUGAAGCUUUCGAGGGUUUGUAUUAAGCUCGUCCUCCGUCGGAACAGAAAUCAUAUACUGAUCAUCAAGGUUCGAUUCAGAACUGAUGCGGCAUCAGCUUUGUUUUUCUUCAUCAAUGACACAUUGACAUUCCAAUCAGGAACACGACAGGAGACCAUAUUGGUCGCAACCAUGUGUUCCCAUCUCAUCAGCAUCAAACCUAUGUGCAACUAAAUCCACAUAGGUUGAUAGAUACCGUCGCGCCAAUUCCUACCGGAAGCAUAUCUACAGUAGUACUCAGGUCAAAUGGUAGAUCAGAUCUAUGGGAGUAAGUCUUGACUGCCCUCCAUUGUACAAAGCAAAUGGUAGAUCAGAUCUAUGGGAGUAAGUCUUGACUGCCCUCCAUUGUACAAAGCAAAUGGUAGAUCAGAUCACUUGGUAUCAGCUUACAAAAUUCCAUCAGCUUCAUGCACAAGUAGGCCUACUUGCUGAAGACUGUUCAGUUUGGUCAGUUAACAUUGGUAGCACCGGUUACCUCUGUACAAUCAUGUUACCGGUCGUCGCCAUUAAGCGCGGUUCGGGUGUGGUGUUGCCACUUGCUCAACGCUGCUAUAAUUUGCAUAUACCCUGCUCUUGUUCUCUUCCCACCAGCACUGAGCUGCCUUCUCGCCAAAAUGCUUCCGACUGCAGACCGAGAUUAUCACAUAAGUAUAGUGGCAGCUAAAUAAUAAUCAUCAACGGUAACAGGUAAGGCUUCAUAGUUUUCACCUGAAUCUUAUCCGCCUUAUGUCUUUCCUUCCACCAGGGGAUACGGCAAGUGUGACAUACACCCCUCGCUCAAUCUGCUCUAUAACACCCUCAACAGGAGUGUCCACGGAGUCUGCUUCGGUGGUGUAGCCAUCACGGUCGAAUGUUCUGGCGAUAUUUUGAUGACUGAAUGAUCUAUCUGUGGCACCUGGUGACGGUGCUUGUUCCGGGAUGCUAUUAGGUGUCAUCUUUGAGUUCUCUGGUUGCUGGCCAACUGAAAGUUUCGCUGACAAGGCAUUGCACUGCACAGUUUACAACGGCCGAACAGGUCAUAUAUCAAGGGGGAGCAAUGAGUGAUCCAUCAUGCAGCAUAUGAGUUAUCUGUUACCGGAAAAGAAACUACCAAUACCGUGUAAUGAGGUUACAUGGAGAUCAUACCUGAUUAGUCAGAACCUUUAUGAUAUCUUUGGCAGCUUUACACUUUGCAGCCUCAUCCCUAACAAUUAGCCAUGUUUCAUCAAGUCUUUGUUUGUACACUUGGACUACAAGAUUUUUCUGCUGGCAUUGCUCUGCAAGAGUCGUGACCUGCAGGUUGAACAACAAUAAUAAUAUCAGCGUUCUUCAGUUCUCAAAGGGGGAAACAAUUAAUUUGCUCAGCAAUGGAAAAAGAAUUACUUGUGAUCGCAGCUGCUUUACUUCCUCCGUGAGUAUUCUUUCCAUCAUACUCAGUUCAUCUCUCUGGCUGUCAGUAGACUGCCGCAAAGGGUUUCCAGCCUUCAACCCUACAGCAUCAUGCAUUCUUUGGGAAAAAGAGACACCAGACAUCUGAUUAUCUGGCACCAGCUGAUGUCUGAAAUUGUCUUGUGCAGAUAAAAAUUGGGCGGGACACUCAACUUGCCCCCAUCUUUGAGUUUUCACUUGUAUCGGAACGGCAGAGUCCACAUUUCUUUGAUUGGGACCUUGUACUGAAGCCAUCUUUUCAACAAUGAGGUUUGCUUCCUUGAACAAACGUGACAACUUAGGUGUGUAUGCCAUUAUUUCUGCUUUAAACAUUUCUCCUUUGCUGAUCUUUGGCUGUGGCUUGACUUCGCCAGAGUACAAGGCUUUCUCUAGUUGACAGAAACACGCAUCGCAGACACGAUACCUUCUGUUCCUGUCUGGCGCAAGUGCUGAGUUUGCGGUCUUGUUACUACUGCAAGAGUUGCAGAACAUGGAACCACAGUUGUAACAGUUGUGUUUCUUUCUAGUAAAAUUAAAAACCAUCUGACAUCUGCUGCAUAUGGGUUGGUCCUUCACUGAGAUACCCUUGUGCAAACAGAUUGCAGCACUAAAAUUGGAGCCACAAGCUAUACUCUGAACUUGUCUACCUUCUAAUGCCUCUACUAAAGUAGGAGAGCUCCUAUUGGCAUAGUCACCUAAACCAAGUUGUCCGUCCGCACCUUUACCCCAGGUGAAAACCUUUCCGUUCAUAGUCAGCACGGCUACGUGGGAAGAACCAGAUGAUAUCUCUGUCACAAACUCAUUCUUAAGUACUCCUCCAACAGUGCAAACAGAUUCACCAUCUGCCUGUGGGUUCCCUAGUUGCCCAUGUUUGGAACUUCCGAUGGUAAAUACCACCCCAUUAGAAGUAAGCGCGACAGUCAGAGCCAUCCCGCAGGAUACCUGAAGAAAAUCAUGACUGAUGAGUGAAUCGACGCAUGUUGGUACAAGCUUCAUCUUCUUGUCAGCAUGACCCAGCUUCCCUUUAUCUGCAUCUCCCCAUGUGAACAGGUUGCCAAUUGGAGCGUUGCACUUGACACUGCUCAUUCCUUCAACAAUGGCAGCUGUGUGCCAUGGCCCGCAUGCCACGGAUUUCACCCGUAACCCUUUCAAGGACUCUACUUCUUUUGGCCUAGCAAUUCCUUGUCUAUCCCCAUGACCAAGAACACCAAAUGUUCCAUCCCCAUAUGUGAAUAGCUGACCAGAAGAUGUUAUAAUAGCUGUGUGCCAGUCGCCACAGGCAAUUUUCGACACAGAAAUGUUGUCCAUAGGGCCAAACAGUUUAUGGGGUAACCAUUGGUUCCUUCCAUGCCAGUUAUUCAACAGACCCAAGCCAUGAGCUCCUUCACCCCAUUCAAAAAGUUCGCCAGAAACUGUGACUGCACAGGUGUGCUUUGAACCAAAUGCAACAGCCUUCACAUGUACAGAGGCAAGGGACUCGACCAUUUUAGGACACUGGGCGCUGUCAUUUACCUUGUGUCCCAGUUUCCUGCCACUCUCCUUGCCCCAGGAGAAGACCUCCCCUUGCUUGGUUAUUAUGGCUGCAUGAUUCUCCCCGCAAGCAAUGCUCUGUACAUCGAGCAUUUUGGUUGAUCCCACUAACCUCGGAAGUGCCUUUGGAAUAUCUUCACUGUCUAAUGCACUGCCAACAACAUCACCCCAGAGAAAAACAUCCUUCAGAGAAUCCAGUCUGCAUGCUGCACGGGGCCCUUCAAAUGCUUUCACUUUAGGUGUUCGACUAAUGGUCUGUGUCUUAUGUUUGUUGUUAGCAACCAAAAUGUCCUUCAAACUAUGUCUAACUGGAUUUGCCACCUUGGGACUAAGCCUCUCCAGGUAAGAGUCUACAUCAGAAAAUGUUCGCUGUCUUUGGUAAAAUAAUGCUUCCGAGCAAUCAAGGUAACCACCAAAUAAAUCUUUCUGUGUCAUCCUAGGACUCCCAUAAGAUGGAUAUACCUUCAAGAAGAAAUUCAUUAACGAAGGAUCAAUCCACAGAGGACACUACAAAAUGACAGAGAACAUCCAGCAAAAUAUCUACACACUUAAGCAUUAACGACUCUUAAGAUGCCACUCCUUUUGAAAAAAUACAGUUCAGUGGUAAGUGCAAUAAUUUAUAUGCGGAUAUUUAUUGAUACCAAUUGCACUUAUCAUGCUAACUGGAGAGAGAAUGGUUUGUUGAAAUUGACACACCUCAGUAGUAGAACCUAACAAUGUUGUGUUUGUCCAUUGGACCAUGCACUGAAUCCAAAGUUUAGAUAGACCUAGUUGACCACAUGAAUCUUUCUGAAACGAAAAUAAAGUUCACUUAGAUAUCACCAUGUAAGUUCUGGAACUAACCUGCUUGUGCCUGGGUGUGUCGUGCACAGCUGAUAGCUUGCUCUUUCGCUGGAUAUAGCUGCGGGGAGUACUUGUGCAACUGGUCAUCUGCCUGCUGCUCUUUGACCCAACUGAUGAAAAUGGACUAGAAGGACCCGAUAUUAAGGCUGUCAGGCCAAGAUGCCAGCACUCAGCUUGAUCUCUGUCUCUGCAGAUCUGGGUCAGCAAGAUUUUUAGAAGAUGUGAUACCGGUGAGGAACAAUGGACACUGAAAUCACAAAUGAACUGACAUAAUAUCUGGCAAGGGAUAUACCAAGUCGAGUGAGCACUCGCCAUUUCUGUAUACGAGUGACAAGGAUUGAUGUUCUUUCUCAGGCCAACGCUGACGACAAAAGUUUGUCUGCAAAAUUCUGAGAUCCUUAGAACUAGUAAUAUUAUAUGAUACAUAGAUAACACAAUAACUUGUUCAGGGGUAAGGAAUUACGUACAGUCUUCUGGCCAAGGAUUACAGUUGAAACAGAAUUUAAGCUCAGGUGUUUCUCCCUGUCUUUCGAGUACCACACCAGUGUCUUCUCAUCCUGCAAGAAGAAGAAGAAUACUUUGUCAUGACCGGAAGAUGGAUUUUAGUUGCAUAGCGGUUCACCCUGCUACAGAUUUAUAGGUCAUAGUGAUAAACUAAAAGGAAAAGACCAAGCUGUAUACUUCAGUUUGAUUAGACCCAUUUAUUUACUGUCGAAACUUUAACAGCUAGUAGGUUAGUGACACCGAUCGCGGUUGGGCAUUUACAAAGAAUAGAAAUGCAAAACACUAGCUAGUAGGUGCGGAUUAGUAUAUCAACCAUAACUUUGUUGCCUGCGAAACUCAGGAAAAUCCCCAUGACAGUGACAGAUCUGUGUACUUGAGACAGUUUGAGCUGCGAAGUCCGCAGUCAAAAUAGUAAAAUGUAUAAUGAUUGCGCUUGACAUGCGAGUGACUGCAGAGGUCCAGAGGAUGAGGGUAGCUUGUCUGCAGUAACUUAAAUAAUUUACAUCCUAUGCUCCCUGAUUUAAAUCCUCAGCUUUAUACUACUCCUACAUCCACAGGAGGCAGAAAAAUAGGAGUACUCACAGAAGACAGCCUGAAAGGGCAGAACUUGGGCUUCCCUCUCUUGCCACACUUGAGGAGAUGCGCGCCCUUCUUGAGAGCAACAAUGGCCUGGAAAAUGAGGAAGAAGUAAUCCGUCAGAAUCAGAUUUACAUUCUUGGCUCAUCUAACCCGGGAAUAAUGUGGAAUCUGCAAAUCUGACCAGUUUUGAAGCAAACAGAGAAUGGUCAAGUCAAAGUAAAAAAGAAAAAAGCAUUUGAGGCCUUGUAAUAAUCCGUAGAGUCUAAAUCAGCCAAGAAAUGUAAGAAAUGGGCACCAAACAGAUUCACGAGGGGACGGGAGGCCAGAAGAAAAAUCGAGCAGGAAGAAGAGCUUUUUACCCACCUGCUCAACGCCCCUGGUUGGUACCCUCCCGUCGAAGCUCCCAGCCAUUGCAGGGGGGCAGAUCAAGCAAGCAGAUGGCAAGAAAUAGGAUUGUUUCGUCGAACAACCAGCAUUCGGCCGCAGACCGCAGGUGGCAGAGUCCUAUGCCAAGGAUUGAUUGCAGUGAGGCGACUGAAAGAGAAGGUGGAGAACCAGCAGCGGGGGGGGGGGGGGGAAUGAAAGGAAGAAAAAGGUGGAAAAAUACUCGCUUGGAUUAAUGUAAUGUAGUCGGAGACAGACCAAUAAUGUAAUGUAGUCGUCCAAGAGUGAAAGAAUCCAUUACAAGUUACGAAAACGCUUGGAUUAGUAGCAGGUCUCCGGUGGAAUGGAAUGGAUCACGAGACGCACACCGCCGCGUUGGAGGACGCGGCGGUUUUGGCCGGGUGUGCGUUAACAAAUCGCCUCUCUUUAGUUAACGGUUGGCGAUGUACGUAGAUUCUAUACGAGUGGACGGGAAUGAGUCGAGUGUGGUGAGAUAAAAAGUUGAGUGUGGUGAGAUAAAAAUACUCGCUCCUCCGACCAAUACGUUACUGCUGCUGCCGCCUAGCCCCGGCAGUAGGCUCGUUUCUUUGUCUGAAAGAUGAAAGAUGGGCGGGUGGAUGGAUCUCUGCGCUGCGCAGCGCACAUUCUUUCUCGUGUCCUGAUGCUCCUGUAGGCGUGAAUGCGCCGAGUUAUGGCGAGUCUGUUCCUGUUGCUAAUAACUGGAGUUGCACGGAAACUGGACCAUGGAUGCAAUGGCCAACUGGGUACAAAACGGCGGUGCGUGUGAGGGGCGCGCCCAUGUGACCGGGGGUUCUCCCCUCUCCUCCUCCGCUGUCCGUCCAGUCCGCGGAGUGGGUGGACGCCAUGUUCCCCUAUCGAACCGGUUUUUGGCAGGGCGCGGGCAUCAAUUAAAUGUUAACUAGCGGAUGGAUACUCACGCUACGGUCGCCGGUGCUGUGCUACGAUGCUACUACCACUAGUGAGUACCCCCGCGGCCUAGCCAUGUGCCACGAUUCUGUAGGCUCUAGUAUACACACACGCACAUAUAUUUCUUCCGGUCUUUUUUACUCUGCAUAUUAGGUUUGGCUGAAGUCAAUCUCAUCCAACUUUGAUCAAGUUUAUACAAAAAAAUAUUAACAUUCGCAUAACAACACAUUUAUUAUUAGAUCCAUCUUGAAAUAUAUUUUCAUAUUAUAUUUAUUAGAUGUUAUAAAUGUUAAUAUUUUCUAAUAUAAAUUUGAUCAAACUUAAUAAACUUUGACUUUAGACAAAGCUAAUGUGCAGAAGAGUAAAAAGGACGGGAGAGAGUACUACUCAAUCAGAGUUGAGAUACUGGUUUGAGUUCCUUGUUGACUUUGGUGGAUGCGCUAACAUGCAACCUCAUCGCAACCACCUCUUGCUUUGCUCGUGUGGUGCACUGGUGCUGGGCAAUCAUGUGGGGUGGGGUGGGAUUACGGGAAGGGGAUGAUGUACGCGCCGCUCUCAUGCGUACGCCUGCAGCAGUGGAGUAACUGGCGUAUGCGCGUAAAAAUGAUACUCCUAGAUCGCCAAAUAUCGGUGCACUGCACGUAGACCAUGGCCCGAGACCGACUGGACUGUACUGACGAGCCAGAUUCGCGACAUCGACCGCCGACGACGGACGGACGGAGAUACAUUGUUGAACUGCGCGGGAGUGGCGGCACGCGCUAGCUGACACAUAUAAGCUGUGGAGGCCGGCGCACGUUUGCAUUACUAGCUCAGAGCGAGCGCGCGACACUAAUUAGUUCUCAAAAGGGUCAUUCUCAGAAGAUUUGGCUUGGUGAUAUAGCGCGUCCUCCAUCCACUAAAAUAUUGACACCACAUACAUUUGUUACCUUCCACCACCGUCCACAUACCCGUGCCACCUCCAAAGAUCAGACGGCCGUGAUUUGGCCUCUGUCGGCCCCGCUGAGCUGUUCACGGACCUCCCACGCUUCGCCGUAGCCAGGUGCCUUCUUCCUGUGUCAUCCGGUCGCGCCACCCCUUCUGCCGCGCUGCCUCAAGGUGUCCAAUGACUUACUCGGAUGUAAAUUUUCACGACCUUUUAUUGUAUGUUUUGUUUAGCGGAUUCAUGCAUAAGACAUAAAAUCUACAUUAUGUGUGGAUGGAUUAGAUGGCAGAACUAUUGUUUUUUUAUUCAUAGUCGGAUCCAAGUUACGAGUCUAGCUAAGAGUGAAAUCAUGGAUGCCGAAGAAGACGAGGCAAUAUUGAUGGUCGAUUAAGGGAUAGCCUCAUCCAGAACGAAGAAGAGGCGUUCGGGAUCGCAUGUUGGUCAUCCGACAUUUUGCCGGAACAAAAUCAAAGACCACGAGCGACUAAUGCUCGACUACUUUGUGUUAGGUUCUACAUUCCCGCCAUAUGUGUUUCGGUGACGAUUUCACUGACCGAGCGGCUAUUUUAUAGAAUCAUCAAUGACAUGGAAGCCAACGAACCUUUCUUCAAACAACACAGAAAUGCAGUCGGUUUCCUGGGUAUUCCCCUUUUUAGAAGGUGACCGCGGUACUUCAGAGGAUUGUCCAUGGCUCUCCUGCAGAUUAAUGGGAUGCGUUUUCAAAUGGCCAAAUAUACAAUCAUCAUGAAAGUGUUCGCUAACAUUGUGGUGCGGUUUUAUGGAGAGAAGUAUGUGCGAGCACCCAAUAUUGAGGACACAGCUAGGCUUUUAGCGAUACAUGAAGCAAAAGGGGUGACCUGGGAUGCUAAAGAGUGUUGAUCGUGUGCGUUGGAAAUAGAAGAAUUUCCAUGCAUCUUUGCAUGGCUAAUUCAUCCUGAAUGCAAGGAUCCAACCAUAAUUUUGGAAGCUUUUGCCUUUGAAGGUUUGUGGAUGGUGUUGGAAAUAUGCCCUAGAGGCAAUAAUAAAUUGGUUAUUAUUAUAUUUCCUUGUUCGUGAUAAUCAUUUAUUAUCCAUGCUAGAAUUGUAUUGAUAGGAAUCUCAGAUACAUGUGUGGAUACAUAGACAACACCAUGUCCCUAGUAAGCCUCUAGUUGACUAGCUCGUUGAUCAAUAAAUGGUUACGGUUUCCUGACCAUGGACAUUGGAUGUCGUUGAUAACGGGAUCACAUCAUUAGGAGAAUGAUGUGAUGGACAAGACCCAAUCCUAAGCCUAGCACAAGAUCGUGUAGUUCGUUUGCUAAAGCUUUUCUAAUGUCAAGUAUCAUUUCCUUAGACCAUGAGAUUGUGCAACUCCCGGAUACCGUAGGAGUGCUUUGGGUGUGCCAAACGUCACAACGUAACUGGGUGGCUAUAAAGGUUCACUACAGGUAUCUCCGAAAGUGUCUGUUGGGUUGGCACGAAUCGAGACUGGGAUUUGUCACUCCGUGUAACGGAGAGGUAUCUCUGGGCCCACUUGAUAGGACAUCAUCAUAAUGUGCACAAUGUGACCAAGGAGUUGAUCACGGGAUGAUGUGUUACGGAACGAGUAAAGAGACUUGCCGGUAACGAGAUUGAACAAGGUAUCGGAAUACCGACGAUCGAAUCUCGGGAAAGUACAAUACCGCUGGAUAAAGGGAAUUGAAUACGGGAUUGAUUGAAUCCUCGACAUCGUGGUUCAUCCGGUGAGAUCAUCGUGGAACAUGUGGGAGCCAACAUGGGUAUCCAGAUCCCGAUGUUGGUUAUUGGCCGGAGAGUUGUCUCGGUCAUGUCUGCAUGGUUCCCGAACCUGUAGGGUCUACACACUUAAGGUUCGAUGACGCUAGGGUUAUUAGGAAGACUUGUAUGUGAUUACCGAAUAUUGUUCGAAGUCCCGGAUGAGAUCCCGGAUGUCACGAGGAGUUCCGGAAUGGUCCGGAGGUAAAGAUUUAUACAUGGAAAGUUGUUGUUCGGGUUCCGGGAAAAGUUCGGUUUUUUCCGGUAUUGUACCGGGAAGCUUCCGGAAGGUUCCGGAGGAUUCCGGAGGGGUCCGAAGGUCCGGAAAAUGUUCCACCACGUCCAAUACAGCAGCAUGGGCUGUAGGGGGGCGCCCUAAGCUUAAUGGGACAAGGGCACCAGCCUCCCCAAGGCCCAUGCGCAUGGGAGAGGGGAAACCCUAAAGGGGAGGGCCUCCACUUGACUUGGGAGGCACUCCUUCCCCCCUUGGCCGCCGCUCCCAACCCUAGAUGGGAUCUAAGGGGGGUCGGCCCCCUCUCUCCCCACCUAUAAAUAGUGGAGGGGUGGGAGGGCGGCCACACCCUUGAACCUGGCGCAGCCCCUCCCCUCCAAUACCUCUCCUCCUCCGCGUGAGCUUGGCGAAGCCCUGCCGGAGAACUGCCACACCAUCACCACCACGCCGUCGUGCUGCUGUUGGACUCUCUUCCUCAACCUCUCCCUCCUCCUUGCUGGAUCAAGGCGUGGGAGACGUCUUCGUUCCGUACGUGUGUUGAACACGGAGGUGCCGUCCGUUCGGCGCUAGGAUCAUCGGUGAUUUGGAUCACGACGAGUACGACUCCAUCAACCCCGUUCACUUGAACGCUUCCGCUAAGUGAUCUACAAGGGUAUGUAGAUGCACUCCCCUUUCCCUCGUUGCUAGAUUACUCCAUAGAUUGAUCUUGGUGAUGCGUAGAAAAAUUUAAAUUUCUGCUACGAUCCCCAACAGUGGCAUCAUGAGCUAGGUCUAUGCGUAGUUUUUAUGCACGAGUAGAACAGAAAGCAGUUGUGGGCGUCGAUAUUGUCAAUUUACUUGCCGUUACUAGUCUUAUCUUGAUUCGGCGGCAUCGUGGGAUGAAGCGGCACUGAAUGACCUUACACGUACUCUUACGUGAGACUGGUUCCACCGACUAACAUGCACUAGUUGCAUAAGGUGGCUAGCGGGUGUCUGUCUCUCCCACUUUAGUCGGAUCGGAUUCAAUGAAAAGUGUCCUUAUGAAGGGUAAAUAGAAAUUGGCAUAUCACGUUGUGGUUUUCGCGUAGGUAAGAAACGUUCUUGCUAGAAACCUAUAGCAGCCACGUAAAAACUUGCAACAACAAUUAGAGGACGUCUAACUUGUUUUUGCAGCAUAUGCCGUGUGAUGUGAUAUGGCCAAAAGGAUGUGAUGAAUGAUAUAUGUGAUGUAUGAGAUUGAUCAUGUUCUUGUAAUAGGAAUCACGACUUGCAUGUCGAUGAGUAUGACAACCGGCAGGAGUCAUAGGAGUUGUCUUAAUUUAUUUAUGACAUGCGUGUCAACUUAAACGUCAUGUAAUUACUUUACUUUAUUGCUAAAGCGUUAGCCAUAGUAGUAGAAGUAAUAGAUGACGAGACAACUUCAAGAAGACACGAUGAUGGAGAUCAUGGUGUCAUGCCGGUGACAACGAUGAUCAUGGAGCCCCGAAGAUGGAGAUCAAAAGGAGCAAAAUGAUAUUGGCCAUAUCAUGUCACUAUUUGAUUGCAUGUGAUGUUUAUCAUGUUUUACAUCUUAUUUGCUUAGAACGACGGUAGCUUAAAUAAGAUGAUCCCUCACUAAAAUUUCAAGAAAAGUGUUCCCCCUAACUGCGCACCGUUGCGAAGGUUCGUUGUUUCGAAGCACCACGUGAUGAUCGGGUGUGAUAGAUUCUAACGUUCGAAUACAACGGGUGUUGACGAGCCUAGCAUGUACAGACAUGGCCUCGGGACACAUGCGGAACACUUAGGUUGACUUGACGAGCCUAGCAUGUACAGACAUGGCCUCGGAACACGGAAGACCGAAAGGUCGAACAUGAGUCGUAUAGAAGAUACGAUCAACACGACAUGUUCACCGUUGAUGACUAGUCCGUCUCACGUGAUGAUCGGACACGGCCUAGUCGAUUCGGAUCAUGUUUCACUUAGAUGACUAGAGGGAUGUCUAUCUGAGUGGGAGUUCAUUAAAUAAUUUGAUUAGAUGAACUCAAUUAUCAUGAACAUAGUCUAAAUUGUCUUUGCAAAUAUGUUGUAGAUAAAUAGCUCACGUUGUAGCUCCCUGUUUCAAUACGCUCCUAGAGAAAGAUUAAGUUGAAAGAUAUUAUAAGCAAUGAUGCAGACUAGGUCCGUAGUCCGAGGAGUGUCCUCACUGCUACACAGAAGGCUUACGCCUUUGAUGCACCGCUCGAUGUGCAAACCCCUACAACGUCGUGUGUGGAUGUUGUGAACACCUGACAGACACAUCCUGAUGACUACUUGAUAGUUUAGUGCACCAUACUUUACGGCUUAGAAUCGGGAUUCCAAUGACGUUUUGAACGUCAUAAGACAUAUGAGAUGUUCCAAGAGCUAAAAUUGGGAUUUCAGGCUCAUGCCCGUGUUGAGAGGUAUGAGACCUCUGACAAGUUCUUUUGCCAACAAGAUGGAGGAGAAUAGCUCAGCUAGUGGGCAUGUACUCAGAAUGUCUGGGUGCUACAAUCAUCAUUUAAAUCAAGUGGGAGUUAAACUUUCAGAUAAGAUAGUAAUUGAUAGAGUUCUCUAGCCACUAUCACUAAGCUACUAGAUCUUCAUGAUGAACUAUGACAUGCAAGGGAUGGAGUUGAUCCCGAAGCUGUUCGCGGUGCUUAAGACCGCAAAAGGUAGAAAUCAAGAAGGAGCAUCAAGUGUUGAUGGUUUAACAAGACCACUGGUUUCAAGAAGGGCAAGGGCUAGAAGGGAAACUUCAUGGAUGGCAAACCAGUUGCCGCUCCAGUGAAGGAACCCAAGGUUGAACCUAAACCCGAGACUAAGUGCUUCUAUUGUAAAGGGAACGGUCACUGGUAGCGGAAUUACCCCAAAUGCAUGGUAGAUAAGAAGGCUAGCAACUUCAACAAAAUUUAUACGUGUUAUUAAUGUGUACCUCACUAGUACUCCUGGUAGCACCUGGGUAUUGGAUACCGGUUCAGUUACUAUUAUUGGUGACUUGAAGCAAAAGCUACGGACUAAACGGAGACUGGCUAAGGGCGAGGUGACGAUGUGUGUUGGAAGUGUUUCCAAAGUUGAUGAGAUCACCAUCGCACGCUCCAUCUGCCUUCGGGAUUAGUAUUGAACCUAGAUAAAUGUUAUCAGGUGUCUACAUUGAGCAUGAAUAUGAUUAGAUCAUGUUCAUUGCAAUACGGUCAUUCAUUUAAGUUAGAGAAUAAUGGUUAUUCUGUUUACAUGAAUGAUACCUUUCAUGGUCAUGCACCCUAUGUGAAUGGUUCACUGAAUCUCGGUCGUGGUGAUACACAUGUUCACGCCAAAAGAUGUAGAGUUAAUAAUGACAGUACCACUUUCUCGUGGCACUGCCGCUUAGGUCAUAUGGCGUAAGAUGCAUGAAGAAACUCCAUGUCGAUGGAUGUUUGGAGUCACUUGAUUUUGAAUCACUUGACACAUGCGAGCCAUGCCUCAUGGGCAGGAUGACUAAGACCCCGUUUUCAGGUACAAUGAAACGGGCAAGUGACUUGUUGGAAAUCAUGCAUGCUGAUGUGUGUGAUCCAAUGAGAAUUGAAGCGUGCGGUGGAUAUCGCUAUUUUCUCAACUUCACUGACGAUUUGGGUAGAUAUAGGUAUAUCUACUUAAUGAAGCACAAGUCUGAAGCGUUUGAAAAGUUCAAGCGAUUUCAAAGUGAAAUUAAGAAUCAUCAUAACAAUAAGAUCAUGUUCAUACGAUCUGAUCAAAAGGGGAUUUUCUGAGUUAUGAGUUUGGCAAUCACUUAAGACAUUGUGGAAUUGUUUCACAGUUGAAGCCACCUGGAACACCACAAGGUAAUGGUGUGUCCGGACGUCGUAAUCGAACCCUAUGAGAUAUGGUGCGAUCUAUGAUGUCUCUUACCAAUCUACCGUUUUCAUUUUGAGGUUAUGCAUUAGAGACAGUUGCAUUCACUUUAGAUAGGACACCAUCUAAGUCCGUUGAGACGACGUUGUAUGAACAUUGGUUUGGCAAGAAACCAAAGUUGUUGUUUCUUAAUGUUUGGGGCUGCGAUGCUUAAGGCUUCAGCCGGAGAAGCUCGAACCCAAAGCGGACAAACACAUCUUCAUAGGAUACCCAAUGGUGACAGUUGGGUAUACCUUCUAUCUCAGAUCCGAGAGCAAAUUGUUUGUCGCUAAGAACGGGUCCUUUCUCGAGAAGGAAUUUCUCUCGAAAGAAUUGAGUGGGAGGAAGAUAGAACUUGAUGAGGUUGUCGAACCUUUACUUCAACCAGAGAGUGAUGCAACACAGAAAGAUGUUUUCUGUGGCACCUACGUCUGUUGAAGUGGAAGUUAAUGACAGUGAUCAUGAAGCUUCGGAUCAAGUUGCUAUCGAACCUCAUAGGUCGACAAGGAUAUGUACUACUCCUGAGUGGUACGGUAAUCCUGUCUUAGAUAUCAUGUUGUUAGACAACAAUGAACCUACGAGCUAUGGAGAAGCGAUGGUGGGCCCGUAUUCCGACAAAUGGUUAGAAGCCAUGAAAUCCGAGAUAGGAUCCAUAUAUCAGAACAAAGUAUGGACUUUGGUGGACUUGCCCGAUGAUCGGCAAGCCAUUGAGAUAAAUGGAUCUUUAAGAAGAAGACGGACAUGGGCGGUAAUGUUACCGUCUAUGAAGCUCGACUUGUGGGAAGGAGUCUUUUCACAAGUUCAAGGAGUUGACUACGAUGAGAAUUUCUCACCCGUAGCGAUGCUUAAGUCCGUCAGAAUCAUGUUAGCAUUAGCUGUAUUUUUCGAUUAUGAAAUCUUACAGAUGGAUAUCAAAACAAGUUUUCUUACCAGUUUUCGUAAGAAAAGUUGUAUGUGAUACAAUAAAAGGUUUUGUCGAUCCUAAGGAUGCUAAAAGGUAUGCUGGCUCCAGCAAUCCUUCUAUGGACUAGAGCAAGCAUCUCGGAAUCGGAAUAUAUGUUUUGAUGGAGUGAUCAAAGCUUUUAGGUUAUACAAUGUUUGCUAGAAACUUGUAUUUACAAGAAAGUGAGUGGGAGCACUACAACAUUUCUGAUAAGUAUAUGUGGAUGACAUAUUGUUGAUUCGAAAUGAUGUAGAAUUUCUGGAAAGCAUAAACGGUUGUUUGAAGAGUGAUUUUCAAAGGAAGACCUGGAUAAAGCUGCUUACAUAUUGGGCAUCAAGAUCUAUAGAAAUAGAUCAAGACGUCUGAUGAUACUUUCAAAGAACACACACCUUGACAUGUUUUUGAAGGAGUUCAAAAUAGAUCAGUCAAAGAAGGGGUUCUUACAUGAGUUGUAAGGUGUGAAGUUGAGUAAGACUCAAAGCUUGACCACGGCAGAAGAAAGAAGAAGGACGAAGGUCGUCCCCUAUGCUCUUGUCAUAGGCUCUAUACGGUAUGCCAUGCUGAAGUACCGCACCUAAUGUGUGCCUUGCCACAUGUCUGGCAAGAGGGUACAAAGGUGAUCUAGGAGUGGAUCACCAGAUAGCAGUCAAAAUUAUCCUUAGAGGAAUAAGGAAAUGUUUCUCGGUUAUGGAGGUGAUAAAGAGUUCGACAUAAAGAGUUACGUCGAUGCAAGCUUAACACCUAUCCGAAUAGCUCUGAGUAGAGAUACCGGAUACUAUAAUGGAGCAAUAAUUUGGAAUAGCUCCAAGUGGAACGUGGUAGCAGCAUCUACGAUAUAAAGUUUUGCGAAAUACAUAGGGAUCUGAAUAUGGCAAGACCCGUUGACUACAACCUCUCUCACAAUCAUAACAUGAUCAAACCCAGAACUCAUUGAGUAUUAAUCACAUAGUGAUGUGAACUAGAUUAGUGACUCUAGUAAACUCUUUGGAUGUUGGUCACAUGGCGAUGUGACCUGUGAGUGUUAAUCACAUGGUGAUGUGAACUAGAUUAUUGACUCCAGUGCAAGUGGGAGACUGUUGGAAAUAUGCCCUAGAGGCAAUAAUAAAUUGGUUAUUAUUAUAUUUCCUUGUUCAUGAUAAUCGUUUAUUAUCCAUGCUAGAAUUGUAUUGAUAGGAAACUCAGAUACAUGUGUGGAUACAUAGACAACACCAUGUCCCUAGUAAGCCUCUAGUUGACUAGCUCGUUGAUCAAUAAAUGGUUACGGUUUCCUGACCAUGGACAUUGGAUGUCGUUGAUAACGGGAUCACAUCAUUAGGAGAAUGAUGUGAUGGACAAGACCCAAUCCUAAGCCUAGCACAAGAUCGUGUAGUUCGUUUGCUAAAGCUUUUCUAAUGUCAAGUAUCAUUUCUUGGACCAUGAGAUUGUGCAACUCCCGGAUACCGUAGGAGUGCUUUGGGUGUGCCAAACGUCACAACGUAACUGGGUGGCUAUAAAGGUUCACUACAGGUAUCUCCAAAAGUGUCUGUUGGGUUGGCACGAAUCGAGACUGGGAUUUGUCACUCCGUGUAACUGAGAGGUAUCUCUGGGCCCACUUGGUAGGACAUCAUCAUAAUGUGCACAAUGUGACCAAGGAGUUAAUCACGGGAUGAUGUGUUACAGAACGAGUAAAGAGACUUGCCGGUAGCGAGAUUGAACAAGGUAUCGGGAUACCGACGAUCGAAUCUCGGGCAAGUACAAUACCGCUGGACAAAGGGAAUUGAAUACGGGAUUGAUUGAAUCCUCGACAUCAUGGUUCGUUCGAUGAGAUCAUCGUGGAACAUGUGGGAGCCAACAUGGGUAUCCAGAUCCCUCUGUUGGUUAUUGGCCGGAGAGUUGUCUCGGUCAUGUCUGCAUGGUUCCCGAACCUGUAGGGUCUACACACUUAAGGUUUGAUGACGCUAGGGUUAUUAGGAAGACUUGUAUGUGAUUACCGAAUGUUGUUCGGAGUCCCGGAUGAGAUCCCGGACGUCACGAGGAGUUCCGGAAUGGUCCGGAGGUAAAGAUUUAUACAUGGAAAGUUGUUGUUCGGGUUCCGGGAAAAAUUCGGUUUUUUCCGGUAUUGUACCGGGAAGCUUCCGGAAGGUUCCGGAGGAUUCCAGAGGGGUCCGGAGGUCUAGAAAAUGUUCCACCAUGUCCAAUACAGCAGCAUGGGCUGUAGGGGGCGCCCUAACCUUAAUGGGCCAAGGGCACCAGCCCCCUCAAGGCCCAUGCGCAUGGGAGAGGGGAAACCCUAAAGGGGAGGGCCUCCACUUGACUUGGGAGGCACUCCUCCCCCCCCUUGGCCGCCGCUCCCAACCCUAGAUGGGAUCUAAGGGGGGCCGGCCCCCUCUCUCCCCACCUAUAAAUAGUGGAGGGGUGGGAGGGCGGCCACACCCUUGAACCUGGCGCAGCCCCUCCCCUCCAAUACCUCUCCUCCUCCGCGUGAGCUUGGCGAAGCCCUGCCGGAGAACUACCACACCAUCACCACCACGUCGUCGUGCUGCUGUUGGACUCUCUUCCUCAACCUCUCCCUCCUCCUUGCUGGAUCAAGGCGUGGGAGACGUCUCUGUUCUGUACGUGUGUUGAACACGGAGGUGCCGUCCGUUCGGCGCUAGGAUCAUUGGUGAUUUGGAUCACGACGAGUACGACUCCAUCAACCCCGUUCACUUGAACGCUUCCGCUAAGCGAUCUACAAGGGUAUGUAGAUGCACUCCCCUUCCCCUCGUUGCUAGAUUACUCCAUAGAUUGAUCUUGGUGAUGCGUAGAAAAUUUUAAAUUUCUGCUACGAUCCCCAACAAACGGGGCAUUGCUAUUAUGGGUUGCCUAGAUCUCACAACGAUAUCAAUGUCUUGCAGAUAUCUCUUUUCUUUGCAAGGCUAGCUGGUGUUAUUUCUUCGCCUUGCAACUUCACGGUGAAUGACCAUCAAUAUAACAAGUCUACUAUCUAGCCAAUAGCAUCUAUCCAUCAUGGUCAACAUUUGUAAAGACAAUCUAUAAUCCUGAGAGCUGGAAACAUCCGCUAAGGCGCAAGAAGCUAAGAGGAAAGACAUCAAGAGGGCCUUUGGAGUGUUGCAAGUUAGUUUAGCAAUUGUUCGGGGCCUUGGUUGGUCGUAUCUGCGGACUUUGUAGGCAUGAACUCAAGUGGCUCAAUCUUUUGGCAGCGGAUGCAUGUUGUGUUUCAUGUGCAAAAGAACUUCGCGCCCUACGACAUGCACAUCAUCCAUCAACGUAAUGUAAAGCCAAUAUCGCAUUGAUGGUACACCAUUCGCAACUCUGUCAUAAAGUUUUGCGGUGCGAUCGCACGAGUGGAGACAAUGUGGCCAUCGUCAACCAUGGAGACCAUAAGUUUUGCUUCUUGUUGCUCUACAUGUUAUUCGUUCACUCAAUGUUGCUCUAAAUGUUGUAUAUACUGCACAUUGAUGGUGUCAUGGACUAGGGGGUGCUAACCUAUACGGCCCACAGUUCAUGGGCUGGGCUUAUGGCUCGUCCACCUGAACAACUUUUAUAAAAGGGACCACACCGUAAUGUCAACAGAGUGUUCGCGAAUGAUGCCAGAACAAAGCCAUCUUCAUCCCCUUCAUCAACCCUAGCCGUCGCCAUUUUCCAUCUCCAUAUCCACCAUCACCACCAUAGUCCAUCUCCCUCUAGUUCAUACUUGUAAUCGUGCAUCGCACACGACAUCCAUUGUAAGACAUAUUUUCAAUCAAUCAAUCUUCAAGAUGUGUUCUUCAUGCGAUCUGAUCUCCAUGUGUGAGUAGUUCGGUAAGGUAUGUGUUGAGGCACAUGCCUUACAACUCUCUGUAUUUGUUGUGGAGAUUAAUGGAAGUGCUUUGAAUUAACGUCCCAUAUGUGUGAAAUAAAAUUAUUCCGUAGAUGUCUCUUGUCUUGUCCGCAAUCUUCAUCCUUGCAGGUACCUAGGAUCAUGGAGAUUGAGCCACAGUGAGGCUAAGGGUAGGGAGAGCGUGUAGUGUUAUUCUGAACACCAGUGGCAGAAGGGUUUAGUACGGUAACAUGGGUCCAAUCCAUGGUGAUUGAUGAACUGUGGUCAUUAACACCCAAAGCUCUUGUAUGAUUAUUAUAAUCUUAAUUAUCGAGGCAACCCCGUACGACGGAUAGGGCCUUCGGUCGGACAACUGAUUCUUGAUGCAAGGCACGUGCUGGUCAAGAUGUUACUUGGACACAUCCCACACUUCGGUUCGUAAUAAGCACAUCUCGAUUGGUGACUUCCAGCGCACAAAUUAAGAUCAUAUUUGGUCCCAACACAAACACAUGGUUGUAAGCAUUAAGACCUCAUACCCGUACCUCUUUUUAUUAUAAGUGUUCAAUCACAAUUUGCUUGAUCGAUCCGAUCAAAAGUUGAAAUUAAUCCUUUGAUGAAAGCUUGCUGAAAACUAUCACUUCACGUGGACCUUCUUCUCGUGGGUACGAUAACCCGGGGUCACUCGUAGGGAAAUAGGUGCGGGAUACUUUCUGUUCCUUUACCGGAUCACUAAAAGGAGGUAUCACCAGUCCUCGGAUCCUAACAUGUCGGAGUCGGAUCCAGGCGCCGCCAUGGAGGAGAACGCCGGAGCUGGCCGUAGAGGAGCUCGGUAGUGUGGGAGGGGAGUGGAGUGGAGUGGAAUGCUGCUAGGGUUUCGGCCAGAGUGCGGACAAGGUCCAUUUUAUGUGGUGUUAGGUGGGCCGGAUCCGACAUGGCAAGCGCACUCGGGCGUCUCCAUAUCCGCCCCAUAUUUGGGCUGGUUAUCAUGAGUGUCGAUCAGUCCGGGCGUCCGUAUAUCCACCCUAGAAUUGGGUUGGUUAUGGGGUGUGCCGGUCAGUCUGGACGUUUGGGUCGGAAAUGAGGCACCCAGUUGGGUGUCUUUUUCNNNNNNNNNNNNNNNNNNNNNNNNNNNNNNNNNNNNNNNNNNNNNNNNNNNNNNNNNNNNNNNNNNNNNNNNNNNNNNNNNNNNNNNNNNNNNNNNNNNNNNNNNNNNNNNNNNNNNNNNNNNNNNNNNNNNNNNNNNNNNNNNNNNNNNNNNNNNNNNNNNNNNNNNNNNNNNNNNNNNNNNNNNNNNNNNNNNNNNNNNNNNNNNNNNNNNNNNNNNNNNNACCGAAGUUGCUUCGCCAAGUGCCCAAGUUAGCCGUUGCCGUUUUGGGUCACGAUCUUGCUCAAGCGUUAUCCUUUCAUCCCUUGAGUUCUUUCUCCCAUGAGUCCCAUCUAAUGAUCUAAACCCUGGCGAGCAGUGUUGGUGCUUACUUGUGUCUGCACGAGAAUGAAUACUGAUUAGGUACCAGCUCAGCAACUUCAGUUAGUAUGGGCUAUCAAUCACCUAGAUUCUUCGGAGGACUACAAUGGACCCAUUUUUUCUAGGGCAGCAGACCGAGAGAGGUUUACUACUUUGAAGAUUGGUUAUACUCCCUCCGUUUCAAAUUACUCGUCGCAGAAAUGGAUGUAUCUAAAAUACAUCUAGAUACAUCCAUACCUGCGACAAGUAAUUCGGAACGGAGGGAGUACAUAAGAAAGAGAGUGCAAUGGGAUGUCAAGUUUUCACUGGGUACGGCAUGUUCACCUUUCUAUUUCUGAUGAGGAAUGAAGGUCCAGUUUGUCUUGGAAAAAUGAGGAAACACCCACANNNNNNNNNNNNNNNNNNNNNNNNNNNNNNNNNNNNNNNNNNNNNNNNNNNNNNNNNNNNNNNNNNNNNNNNNNNNNNNNNNNNNNNNNNNNNNNNNNNNNNNNNNNNNNNNNNNNNNNNNNNNNNNNNNNNNNNNNNNNNNNNNNNNNNNNNNNNNNNNNNNNNNNNNNNNNNNNNNNNNNNNNNNNNNNNNNNNNNNNNNNNNNNNNNNNNNNNNNNNNNNNNNNNNNNNNNNNNNNNNNNNNNNNNNNNNNNNNNNNNNNNNNNNNNNNNNNNNNNNNNNNNNNNNNNNNNNNNNNNNNNNNNNNNNNNNNNNNNNNNNNNNNNNNNNNNNNNNNNNNNNNNNNNNNNNNNNNACAAAUGGAGAAGUUAGUGUUAUGUGCAUGACUUCUGAAUCUUUAGUGGUGAGCUUUUGACUUUUCAGAGACGUGUUAUUUUAUUUUAUUUUGAACAAGGACGUGUUAUUAUUUCUGCUUGAAUGGACAGUCUGCGACUGAACCUAUUGUGGAGAUUGAUGCAUCCAUUUUAUCACAUACUAGAUCAGAGACUUGGAAUAACUCUCAACCAGACCCGCAAAAAAAUAAAAUAACUCUCAACUAAGUUCAUCAGCCACGGGAAAUUGUUUAGCAGAGGUACGACACUGCUAUAAUUAGCAUGGAGUACAUAAGGGAUAGGGCUUCGGGACGAUGGUGAGCAGCAACUAGGGCCUCCUGAACGAUGAUGAGCAACUAGGGCCUCUCCUCCGGUGGAGCUGGCCGCCUUGAGAACGUAACGAACUUCUCACGGUAGGCCGGUACGACGUCAUUUGUGCCUAGACGCAUAUAUACUGGGAUCAUCAGAAGACAGAUAUCUCUAAUUAACAACCCUGCAGUUAUAAAAGGAAUGUGCUGACAUGCAUUUAAAUAAGAAACACGAGAGUUUGAGAUUAACGUUAGGAUCUAAAGGGUGAGUUUUCAGUACAUUCCUCUUAUCCAGCUCUGACAACUCAAAUUUUCCUUUCACCUGCUCAAAACCAUGAAUGAGUUUUGACUGCCGCUGAAAAUUAAUUUGUUCUUUGGAUUGUUUUGAGGAUUGGAGAGUUAACUAAGGAUAAUAAGCUCAAGAUGGAUGGAAAGGUAGCAAUGCCUGUGAAUUUUGGGGUGCAUGCCGCAGAAUCUGUCGAUCACCUGUCUUUGACGUGUCGACUUUCCUAGCUACAUCUAUUUGGUCAAAUUUGUGGUUGUGCUUCUGGAAUGGGAAUUAUACCUCUGGACAACUUAACCUGUCGAUCAGCUGUUCGGUAGUUUGUUGAGUUCAUUCCAACAAAAUAGUAAAAGGUUGGCCACAGGAAUGCAACAUAUUUUCAGCGCAUAAGACCACCUGACCCUUCCAUUAGUAUUAUUCACAAUGUGUAACUGGGUUGACUACUGGUAUAAACUAUUGAACGAAAAUAAUGAUGCCACAUUGCAGCAUAAAUGCAAAAAAUGAGAGCACUUAGGUUAUGGUUGAGGAGAGUACUGUAGUGAUGUGCUUCAAUUAUUUUUCCCUAUUUUUAUCAUUGGGUCAAGGAAAAAGAAGACAUAUUUUUCUUCAACCAAUGUGCAUCUAAACUUUAACUGGCAAGCAAUUUUGUACCUUUUCCUUUAUUUUUAUAUGCACAUAUUGUGUCAAUGUACUAAGCAGAAUGAAUGAACAUCUACACCAGAGAUUGCCAGUGUACGAAAAGAGUUGCAUUGAAGAAGAUUGGAAUGGAUAAUCCAACUUAAUCAAGACACUAAAAAGGGCAAUCAGCAACACCACACAUCACUACCCAAAAUGUGCUCCAUGUAUUUCUAAAAUAUCAAAGAGACCUAAAUCUUCUAAGAAUAGUCCAGAUCUUCAUACCUCGUGUUUUAGCUGAACUCAGUGCAAACAAAAUUGAAACCUGCAAGAUAAGAAAACACAGAAUCAAUUCAGAGAGAACCUACUACAGACAAAUGGGAAUUUUCAAUGAACUGUAAAGAAAUAUGGAAACAUGGAUAUUAUCUUCUAAUAAGAGCUUCACUUGUAACAUGUACUUCUUUAUAACCAAAUAUUGUAAAGCGGGACUAACUUUACUAAAAUAAGAUGGUAAUAUUUUGGCUUCUUCCUGGUUAUUUGAGAUGUAAUCGCACAUAACAGGAUUCAUAAAUUACAGAGGGUAACAGUAUGGGGUUAAAAUUUGCCAAAAUCAUUGACAUGAUAGUUGUUGUGAGCUGUCAGCUAAAAAGAAGGGACAAAAGAAUAUGCAACAUCCACAAGGGGAAUCAUAGCAUAAGAAGAGCAAGAUAGUCACACGCUAGUUUGUAAAGGAUCUAGAUGACAGUAGGCCCAAUCAAGAUGGCUGGAUAGAGGGUAGCAUUCGCCUAUAUGGAUGUACUGGGACCAUUCAUUUGCAAUAUGUCGAUAAACUGCAAUUGCUAUAUAAUGCCAACAUAAUAUACUUGGAACUGCUUGAUGUGUGAUUGUUACUAACUAAUUGUUGUAGUUCCAAAAUCCAAAUUGAUAGUAUAUAUUUUUGUAUAAUAAAGCCAGUUACAAAUAUGCAGUACAUGUACAUCCCUGUCUUUCACUUUCUCUUCAUCAAAUAUUUGAAUCUGAAUGUUUCUCCACGCACGCCCAAAUUUCUAACUAUAUUCUACUGAUUAGUUUGAGAUUUUCUUCACUGCCUGAUGUUCAAUGCCUAGAAGCAUGAAGAGUGCCAACAGUAAUAAGUAGCAUGAAGAGUGCCAACAGUUUAACUCACAUCCAGAUCCAGGAAUCCUGCUAGUUUGUUGGACACUAAUUUGCUCAAGGCGUAUGCCGUACGUAGUCAGUAUUUUCAAAAUUUUGUGAACCUUGCUAUCAACAUUUGCACAUUUGAUUUCAACAAUCUUAAGACAGUUGGAUGCAACCGACUGUCCCAAUGGUUUGUAGAUUCCUUCUGCUUCAGUUACAUAUGAAGGUCCCUAACACACACACAAAAUAAAACCAAUCAGGUAAUCCUGGACGGUCAUUUUAAAUGAUACACAGCUAUCCAGCUAAAAAACUAUACCUUAGAAAGUUGAAGAGUAAGCUUCUCCAAAAUUGGCGAGUGUUGGAGAAAACAAAUUAGUGCAUUAUGGUCAGCAGCCAAACACCAAUCAUUGAGUAGCAAAGUCUUUAACUUGGUAAAUGUAGGGCACCACUUCAAAUCCCUGUUGAAAACAGUCUAGGGAAAGUGCAAAGGAGCUGGAUCAAAUUAAGAACCUUUUGACCUUUGAAGUACAAAGUGCAAUCAGCUGAUGUGUGAAGUAAGUCAUAUGUAAAGCAAUUACGAUUUGUGAUGAUGGAUAUGGUUUCUACAAGAGAAAUGAGGAAACAUACAGUAUAUAACAUAAUCAUAAGAGAGAAGAUUUUGCAAACAUACCACAUCAGAAUGAGCUGACAACUCCAAGUCUGUCGCUUCUGACAAACCUUUGAGAAAGAUGCAGUUGUUGCGGUAAUAAGGAGGCCCAUGUUCAGGAUCCCCAUAAUAAUAAUAACAACGAUCACACAUAUCAUCAUCAGCACCACAACUAUCAAACUGACCCUGAGAGCAUUGAUCGGCACAACUCUCGUUAAGCACAACAACAGCUCUUGCUAAACACGGCAAGCUCCCAAGCAAUGGAAUCCUUCCUUGGACCCAUUCGAUCAACUCAAGCGAAACAAGAUUUGGUAGAGAAAUAAGAAUGCGGUAAUUUUCUUGAGCAUAGCAGCGGGUAAUUCGCAGAUGUUUCAAGGAUGGAGACAAGAGCUGCUUGACAACGACGUCGCAAGUAUCCAUACUCAGUUCCACCAAUGCUGGACAGCCUGUAAAAUCAACGACGCUGCCGUAGAAACCGACACCAACAAGCUCUAAUCUGGUGAGGUGCUGGGAGAAGAGAUGCAUGUCAGAUGGUGGCGAGGCUCCCGGAUCCUCGGGAAUGCGAAGCCGGAGCCGGAGCGCCCGGACACGAGGCAGGGCCUUCCAGAGCCAGUUGCUCGCACGCCGCUGGUUGGCGGGCAACAGCAUGAAUCCGUCGGAAUCUAAGUCGAAAUCGCAGGAAUCCAGAGGCGGGCCGUCGCCCCCGCACCUGAGGUGGAGCAAGUAGUCCACGAAUUGGGCGAACAUGUCGGCGCUGCCCCACCCCUUGGCUCCGGUGAAGCGGAGGGUGGGCACGGACCUCCAGACGCCGCGCCAGCGCCGGGCGAGCAAGGACGUCCGCACCACCUCAUGAGCCGGCAGGAGGCGGAGCACGUGGUGGAGGAUGUCCUCCGGGAGGGCGCUUAUGCGGUCCACCCCGCUCGCCAUGGUCGAAGCUUCCCGCCCCGGAGCGGCGUUCCGUCGAACAGGUGUCGUGCGCCGCCGCUAGGGGAGCACGGAGGAAGACUGCUACGAGGGAGUGAGAGGCCAAACGGGGAAAGAACAGUUCACUUCAUUUCCUUAGGGCAACUUCAUUGGAGCAGACCUGGCCAAACGGGACGACCCGGCCCAUUCUGGCCUGGCACGGCCCGUACGGCCCGUGCCGUGUCGGCCCACAUGCUGUGCCUUUAGGCCCAGGCACGGCCUAGUUAGUAAACGGGCCGGCAUGUUGGCCCGGUUAGCACGUUGGGCUGCACAUUUUCAGCAUGUUGGGCUGAUUUUUAGACCUAUUAGGUUGUAUUUUAUGUAUACGUAUAAAAAAUGCUGAAAAUUAUAUAAAAAAAUAAACGGGACGGGCCGUGCCGGCCUGCAUUCCCAGGCUCCAAGCCUAGGCACGGACCAAGGAGUGCCGCAUGCCGGGCACGGCCCGUUUAGCCCGUGACGUGCCUGGCCCAUGGCGGACCGUGCCGGCGUGCUCGCGGGCUGGCCUGGUUGGCCCGGCCCGUUUGGCCAGCUAUACUAGUAGGCUUGUUGUCUUUGAUGCUUGUUUGCUAUUGCGAUUUGCGCCAGCACUCGGUAUCAACCGCUUUCAUUUUCUUUUUUCUUUUUGGAUAUUGCUCGUUGUAAGUUAUAGUCAAUGGCUUUAUUAAUUCAAAGUCGGACUCAUCUCGAGCUUUCUCUCUAAUUUAUUUUGUUGCAUAGUAUUAUUACUACGAAGGCUUUCUUUGAUUCAUAAGAUAUGAAUAUUAUAGGAAUAGGAAAAUCAUAAUAAGCGAGAUGACAUGUAUCUCAAUUGCUACAGGGAAAGAGAUGUCAUUUGAUGCACAUGAUAUGAAUUUUUCAACCGAGUCUAGCCUAAUGUUAUUUUUCUUUGAAUUAGGAUUGGUUUCUAUCAUACUUAGGAAUAGGAACUCAUUCCUACAAAACCAAAGGACACCAAAGAAAUAUUUCCUACAAAAUUCAUGUCUUUAUCCUUUAGAAUUCCUACAAAAAUCAUGUAAAGUAAAGGAGGCUGAAAUUUUAACAACACUGUUUGUUAGAUCAAAAUGCAAGGAUUAUAUAGCAACAACAAAAAUCAAAUAUUUCGAUGGUUCUGGGCAUGAAUUUUGCUAUAAUUUGUAGCAUAGGGUUAGUACUAUGAAACGUAAACUUCGACAAAAAAUUCAACUCCUAGCACAUACACACAAUAUGAUGGCUACCUUAUAAUCAACUAAUGUUAUGUAAAUUGUCACAAAAAUAUUGUGCAGAUGUGAGCCAAAAACACUAAUGUUGUGUUUGGAUGUCUGUAUUGGAGACCUCUAUAUUGAUUAGUUUCAAUUCCAUUUCAGCCAGGAAACUGUAAUGAACACUAAUACAAAUUCAAUUGUUUGGAUGUUAACUAAAUUGGCUCAUGGAAUCCUAUUGAGGUUUCAAUACGGAAUCAUGUUUGGAUGUCAAACUAUGGAAUUGCAUAGCAAUAUUAGUAUAUGCAUCAAAACAGAAGUUGUAUAAUGUGUGACUACAAUUGAAUGAUUAUAUAGCAACAAAAAAAUUAUCAAAUAUUCAAGAAUGGUGGAGGAAGAAGGAGAGCCAUGUUGACGCAGGAAGAAGGGGAGCUGUCUUGUAUCCGGCGGUAGCUAGCUGGGAAAAGGAGGACUAGAAAGAAGGGGAGUCGUGUCUCGGUUGAGGAGGCCCGAGAGAAAGAGGAGAUAGGCUCCGACGGUGGGUCACUGCAGUGCCGGGGACGAAGGGAAGGGCCAGCGCCAGAAGGGACUGCAGCCGCAUCCAUCAAAGGUUAGAUGGGAUCUGGCAGUGGUGAGCAUUGCUGAAGACAACUAAAAGGGGAGCCGGAGGAGAGGAAGGAUCGGCGGCGGAGGAAAAAGGGAACGAGAGGGCGCCGAUCUGCGGGGCACCGCCGUCUUCGAUCUGCGUGGGUGCCGUCGUCCUCUGUCUCAUGGUGGGGGGGCGAAGGGACGAAAGAGAGGCCCGAGCCAUUUUCCUUUUGUGGGCUUGAGCCCAUUUGGCUGAAAUCGAAGGUGCUACCCUCCGAAUUGUCGCAAGGAGUGGACGUGUGCGAACGAAAACUGCUAUGUAUUCGUUAUCGUUUCGGUCUGCUGUUUCAGAGUACAUCCAAGUACCUGAAUUGCAAAUGCAGUUUAAGGGCUCAUUUGAUUCAAAGGAAUUGUAUAGGAAUUUUGGAAGAUUGAAAUCCUUGGAAUUUUUUUCCUAUGUUAGUCUUUUGAUUCGUAGGAUUGGAUGCUUUUUUAAUAUGAAAUCUUUUGUACGUACUACAUUUCAUAAAAAAAUUAGCAUCCAAUCCAACCUCUUUUUAUAAUUUCUUUUCUUUUCUAUGGCAUCAAACACUUUUUUUAAAGUUGGCAUGUCACUCCAAUCCUCUACCUUUUCUAUUCCCGCAUUUUUUAGAAUCAUGCGAGUCAAAAAGGGGCCUUAAAAAUAUUAAUUACGUGGCCUGCUUGGAAGAGGAGGUAGUACUUAUACCUGGCCAUGGGCAACCCGCACCGGACGGCCCGGCCCGGCUCAAAAAUCCCAGGCUGGGCCGAGUCCGAGCAUGCCAUCGAGCCGGGAUCGGGCCUGAAAAUCAAGCCCAACGGGCAGAUCGGGUCGAGCGUGCCAUCGGGCAGGGCUCGGGCCUGAAAAUCGAGCCCGACGGACAAAUCGGGCCGAGCUUUGCACAAAGCGGGAUUUUAGCCAUACCGGGCCGGGCCGACCUAGCCUUGUUGGGCUUUAUGAGGCUCACGCCUGAUUUAGUAGGCCCGAUGGUCGGGCCAGGCCGGCUUGGGCCUAGGUUUUCAGCACCGGGCUUUUUUUUGGCCCGGCCCGGCCCGAGGUAUAGUAGUACUUAAUUUAAAUUUGCCUUCGAAAUACCUAAAUUUUAUCAGGAAUAUCAGCUUUCCGUCUACGCCGUCAACGGUCGAGGUCGUUUGUACUAGUCUACUCCUGAGUCUUCACUUGGUUAUUAAUUCCCUGCUCCACACUCUUGGCCAGCAUGAUGAACCAAAUUGUUCCAAGUCCAAGCAAGCAAGUCAUGCCUCGUCUCCAUGGCCGCGCCCCAGCUGCGCUUGCCAUCCGCCACCUCCUCAUUUCGUUCCUCCUCGCGCUGCUCCCGCUCGCGUCUGCGCAGCAGGAGUACGAGGCCAACGCGCAGAGCGACUGCUACGCCAACAACGGCAGCUCGGUCCUCGGCUACACCUGCAGCAGCAGCAAGAGCAACCACGCUAACUCCUCGUCGGCAUCGGCAUGCGCCACCUACCUGGCCUUCCGCUCCGAUCUGCCCGGCUACGGCACCCCAAUCACCGUCGCCUACCUCCUCAACGCCAGCGCGUCCGCCGUCGCCGCCGCCAACUCCGUGCCCAUCGCCUCCCCGGUCCAGAACGGCAGCCUGCUCCUCGUCCCCGUCCGCUGCGCCUGCAUGGCGGCGGGGCACUACCAGCACGACGCCGCCUACGCCAUCCAGUUCGGCUACGAGACCUACUUCUCCAUCGCGAGCGACGUGUACCAGGGGCUCUCCACCUGCCAGGCGAUGAUGGCGCAGAACCCCGCGCACGAUAGCCUCGAUCUGUAUCCCGGCAUCGCCCUCACCGUGCCGCUCCGCUGCGCGUGCCCUUCGCCCACGCAGGCCUCGACUGGAGUCAAGUACCUCGUGACCUACGUUCUCGACUGGGACGACGACGCGUCCACCGUCGCCGACCGCUUCCGCGCCGACUACCAGGCCCCUGCUUCACGCCAAUAGCAUCACCGACGACACCACCGUGUACCCGUUCACCACCAUGCUGGUUCCGCUCAAGGAUAAGCCCACCUCUGAAAUAGCGGUCCUGCCGGAGCCACCCACACCGUCACCGUCACCGUCACCAGCACCGUCCGAUGUGGUGUCAGUCCCGCCGGCGAGUUCCACUGAAUCCAGCAGUGGUCCUACUCCAAGGUGGCGGGUCGUCGUCGGCGUUGCUGCUGGAUGCAGUGUUCUUACUUUGGGUGCCCUGCUUGCUCUGUUCUUGCUAUGCCGUUGGCGUCGGCGGCACGGCGACCGUGGUGACCGAAGCAAGACCACCCUACCGGCAGUGGAGCAUGCUGUGUCAGACGGGCCUGCGAAGGGAGCUUUGACGAGGGCGGCGUCCUUGAUGUGGCCGAUGGUGGUGCGCGAGGCAGUGGGGUCGCUGACCGUGUACGACUACGGGGAUCUAGAGAGGGCGACAUCAGGUUUCUCGGAGGAGCAGCGUAUUGGAAACUCGUCGGUCUACCGCGCGGUGAUCAACGGCAGCGCUGUGGUCGUGAAGCGAGUGCCCGGCGACGUGGGCACUGAGGUGACCAUCCUGGGGCGCGUCAACCACUCGAGCCUCAUCCGCAUGUCCGACCUGUGCAUGCACGGCGGCUACACCUACACGGUGUUCGAGUUCGCCGAGAACGGCGCGCUCAGCGACUGGCUCCACGGCGGCGAGGAGGAGGAGGAGGGCCGCGUGCUCGGGUGGAGCCAGCGCGUGCAGGUGGCGCUCGACGUGGCAGGCGGGCUCAACUACCUGCACAACUACACCGACCCUCCCUACGUGCAUAAGAACCUCAAGGCCAGCAACAUCCUCCUCGACGCAUGCUUCCGCGCCAAGCUCUCAAACUUCGGCCUCGCGCUCGCGAUCACCGAGGACGACGACCGCGGCGGCCUGUGGAUGACCCGGCACGUGGUCGGCACGCAGGGCUAUCUGGCGCCCGAGUACCUCGAGCACGGGCUGAUCGGCCCCCAGCUCGACGUGUUCGCGUUCGGCGUCCUCCUGCUUCAGCUCUUGUCCGGGAGGGAGGCGGCUAGACAAGACGACGACGGCGGCGGCAGCGGCAAGAACGGGAAGGUGGUAUUGCUUUGGGAGGAAGCGGAACGGUUGGGCCUGGGCGGCGGCGGCGGCGGCGACCUGCUGGACAAGGUGACGGCGUUCGUCGACGGCCGGCUGCAUGGGCAGUAUCCGUUGGACGUGGUGUUCGCUAUGCUCGCGUUGGCACUGAGGUGCGUGGCCCGGGAGUCCCGGACGCGGCCGUCCAUGGCCGAGGUGCUCCUCUCGCUCUCGGGGGUGUACAAUUGGACAAUAAAUUGGGACCCUCGGUGCCCUGAAGGCACCGGAACUCCUCACGAACAAUAGGCCCAGAUUACUACCGCAUCCAACACGGCGGGUCACCGUCGGUGUACCUUCCCAAGACGUAUAGAUAUCUUAUAUGGACUUGUAUUGCUAUCACGAUCAGAAAUAAACCUCGGCACUGAAGCAAACUCAAUUCCAUAGUUGUAAACCAUCAUGUCAUUUUCUUGUUAGUACUUAGAUCGUUACUACUCUUUCUAUAAAAUCUUAGAGCAUCUCCAACAGCAGCCUUGAAACAGGACACUUGGUGUAAAAUGAUCGUUUUUUUCAUCAUUUAAGCCCAAAAAGGAGCUCCAACAGCUGCCCUAAGAGUAUCUUCAUCAGACGCGCGUUAAAAAAUGCAACGCUGAAAUAGUGUUUUUGUGCGCAGGAGGUUUACCAAACGCACAAAAACACGCCGCCCAACCCAGCGGCCCCACAUGCAGCACCCGCGCACACAAGCCGGCGCCCCAAAUUUGCAGGCCCGCAACCCGCGUGCGCUAAAUUUACAGCUUCGUUUUUGUGCAUGCUUUAUUUUACAGCUUUUAUUGGAGCGCUGUUUUUAUCGCGCGCGCUAUAUAAGCAUCUUUUUCAACGCGUGCGCGUCUGUUGAAGAUGCUCUAAACAUAUAAAGUUGUGGUGCCCAAAAUAAUAAGACCAAGGUGAUCCAAAUUUAGAUCACGCGUUGUCGUGCCCAAAUCCAAAAAACACCGCGCGUGUGUGGCCAACUGCCAUAUGAGGUUUCACCCCGCCUCUCGCAGCCGUUGCUGUCAUAGAGCGCACCCCUGACCAUGCCAUCGACCCCGCACCUACCUGUCCUCGGUCAGGUCCCCAUCCCCCUCGCCGCGGUCGUGGCCGACUUGCCAUCAUCCGCUACACCGUCAUUGCGGCACCAUAAGCUGUCGUCACGGUAGGAGGUGCGACAGCAUAUGAAAAAAGAAAACUUUGCAUUUCCAUGAGAAUUUAAAAUCCUCAUGGAGACACUUCUAAAAGGUUGUCUUUGGUGUUGUGGCCUUAAUUAUUUUUUUAAAGCUCAAGGCCACACGUUAAGUACUACAUGUUGACAAACACACCCAUACAUAAAGAUAAAAUUACAUUUAUAAUCUUGGGGGUACAAAAACUCAUAUGAAUUCCUUCCUCUUUCUCCUCUUUGUGAACACAUAACUCACAUGAAGCAUACCAAAAAAAACCAGAACAUCUUUUCGUUCCCUCCCUCUCUAUAAUCAGUCUUUGGCAAAUGGUUUCCAAAAGCCUAAAUUUUGAAUGUUACACUACAAUAAUCGGAUAUGAUCGUAUAGAAUACAAUAUCCUUGGUUAAUUGCAAAAUUAGGAAGCAUCAUAACUAACAAUCUUUCUGCCACCAAUGGAAAAUCCAAUGGACACAUUAGCGCAUAAUAUACACUAGCAGACUCUAUAACCUUCAAUUGAGUUUACCUAUAAGUGGAGUCUCGAACAAUGCAAAACUUCUUGUUGUGAUAUUUGUGUACUAUGUUAGGUAGAUAAAUAUACUUUUUGUGUAUAUAUAUGUACAACAUUGUUCUUAGACAGAAAAGUUGUUUUGUAGUUUUGUUCUCUCUACAUAUUGCUCAUAAUAGAGAUAAUGAUACUCAGUCGGGAAACAAUGUUGCGGGUACAUAACAUGUCCUUUUUGAAGUUAUAAAUUUAUUGUAUUAAUUGGCUAGAAAAAUUAAUUGACUAAUAGCAGUAAUAAUAUAAAAUCCAACUAACCAUAUAUGUAUCCAUAUGUAGAUGAUAUGAGUGAGGAUGACUUAUCUUCUGAUGCAUCACCUUUUUCUUCGGGGAACUCAAAUGGUGUCUUAUUCUCUUCCCUUUCCUAGUACAAAUUAUCAUGUAGCUUACCUUGAAACAAGCAAUUGACUUAUAUUCUAAUUUCAGGUAGUCCGGUCGUUUUCAAUAUCACCGAUAGGGACAUGGACGACGAAAUUAUAAUAGUUCAGAGUUCACCCCCUGAAGAUAGCCCACCUGAUAAGCGAAAACCACUUUUGGAGAAUAAUAAGAAGAAGAAGAAGAGAAAGGUUACAGAGGACGAGGAAAACAAAAUGGAGGAGGAAUCAGAUGGGAAGGAGGACAACGCAGACAAGGAGGAAGAGGAUGGCAGUGAGGAGGAGGAGGAGGACAGUGAAGAGGAGGAGGAUGAUGAGUGAAGUAUACUUUCCUAUGUAGUUUUUUUUAUAGUGGCACCCUUUCUUCUUGCUCUUGGGAAAGGUUUAGCAUUUAGCCGCUUAGUAGUUUGUUUCAAGAAGCAAUGGUGGGCUCUCAAUAGCUGCCUUGUGAGCAAUUCCGUGUACGCCAUUAUCCUAUCUAGGGUAGCAUUUAGGAAAACAAAAAAUAUAAUAUAUAAAAAUAUUUUUUUAUCUGCUUUGUUUAGUUGGACCAUCGGAUUUUUGUAUUUCCAUGACAUUCACGAUCACUUUUUUUGUGAAUAACUCAUGAUUUUUUUUGAAUUUGCAAAAGUUUUGUUCAACUUCAUGAAUAUUUUUUCAAUACGUGAAUAUUGUUUCAGAAUCACUAAUGCUUUAUGAUUUGUGGAAUAGUUUUCCAAAAUUCACAUGUUUUUUAUAUUUGGUACCUUUUGAAAUCCUCAAUUACCUUAAAUAAGAAAAAGUAAAAACAAAAAAACAAAAAAGUAAAAAAAUGUAAUGAAAAGAAUGAAAUACACUGGAGGUCGGCGCGGUGUCACUUUAGUCCUGUAUCUUUCAAAAUGCACCUUUUAGGUGCUAAUUCUAUAGUAAGUGGUUCAUCCAAGGUCCUUUUUUCCACUAGGGCUCGCUGACCUGUUUGUGUGGUGCGUUGACCCCAUGCCACGUCGACUCGGGAGAGGGGAAGGAAAAAGAAGAGAAGAGAAACAAUACAUGUUCAUUUGGAACAAACUAAUGACAGUAGUAGUGGCUCUGAGUUGGUUGACUCUGACAAUGAAUUACAGAAAGAUGACGAUGAUCUGUUUGUGGAAUGUGGGAAUGACUAACAUGGAUUCAGUCCAACCUGAACGAAAACAAUUCAGAAAUAUAGAAAUGGGAUAGAAUCAAAACAAAAGGCUUUAAAACUCUCAAACUCUUGGUUCUUACACAAUGGUUGGGGCACUUGUAGAACACCCGUCAAGGGUUAAUAGUAGAUUUUUACUGAAGCUUAAUGAUGCUAGGGACACGACAGCAAGGACACACCAGCAACGGCAACAACAUACCCGACGAAGUUGGAGCUUGCGCUGUCGGCGGCGGCACUGAUGACGACGCUACCAUGCUCCUCUUCUUCAGCUGCUUCCCCGCCUAGGGGCUUGAAGUUCCGACCAUGGAUAGGGAUAAGGCAUGAGAGAGAGAGAGAGAGAGAGAUAGAGAAGGGAUUUGGGGAAGAAUGAGAGCCAGGUAGUGAGGAUUGUGAAGAACAAUGUUUAUAAGUUUUUUUUUGUAAAAUAUAGCAGCCUCCGCGGCCCCUGAAAAGACAUGGCUUGGGUCAACGCGCCACGCAAGCAGGUCAACGAGCGCUAGUGAAAAAAAGAGCCUCGGGUGAACCACUUAUUAUAUGAUUAAGACCUAAAUAUGCAUUUCAAAAUAUAUAGGAAUAAAGUGACGCUGCGUCAAAAUAUUUAGGACCUCCAAUGUAUUUUUUAACUUUUUUGAGACAAAAUGUAUUUUUUAACUCUAAUGAAAAUACUGGAGGGGCUUCCCGGUCCGCUCAUGGACCGGUCCGGCAUGCCGGAGGGGAGCGCGAGAGCUAUUUCUCGCUUUCGCUGAAGGAAAAUCGCGACGCGUACGAAACUGGGCCGGCCCACUUGGGAACGCUAAAAUUAUAAAAAGCGACGAAAAAAAGGGAAGCGCGCAAGGGACUCGAUUCCUGGUCUCCACAACGGUAGUCGGUUGUGCUAGCCAACGAACUAGCUACGAAUUUGUGAUAAAGUUCGACGCGCCAGCUACUUGAGUUAACACAAGCGAGAUUUCCACUAGUUUUUCCCGGAUUGUCAGUUUUUCUGGUUUUUUCUCUUUUCUUUUUUUGCUUCAUUUUUAUUCAGUUUUCUCCAGGUUAUUUCUCCAUUUUUGUUUGUUUCUUUUCUUCUCCAUUUUUUGUUUUUCUUUUGUUUGUUUUCAUUUUCACGCUAAAUUUUCGUACAUGCCAAAAACAUUUUUUUAAUAAAUGAUCAACAUUUUUUGUAUACACGUUCAACAUUGUCCGAACACUUAUUCAACAUAUUCAAAUGCUUGUUCAACAUUUUAAUACUUAUACAACAUGUUUCAAAUACUUGUUUGACAUUUUUAAAAUACUCAUUUAACAUUUUCUAAUACUUAUUCAACACUUUCUCAAAUACUCUUUCAACAUUUUCAAAUUUUUUUGUUCCACAUUUUCAUACUUAUUCAACAUUUUCAAACUUUUUGUUCCACAUUUUCCAUAUACUUGUUCAACAUUUUGUAGUACUUAUUCAACAUUUUUCCAAUAAGUUUUCAACAUUUUUUAAUACUUAUUCAAAAAAAUCAAAUACUUGUUAAACAUUUUUCAAAUACUUGUUCUACAUUUUUAUUUAGAAUGCUUGAUUAACACUUUUCUAUACAUGAUCAACAUUUUUUAAAAUACCUUUUCAACAUUUUUCAACAAGUUGUUCAGCAUUUUAAAAUACUUAUUCAACAUUUUCAAAUUUUUUGUUCCACAUUUUUAUACUUAUUCAACAUUUUCAAAAUUUUUGUUCCAUCCUUUCCAUAUACUUGUUCAACAUUUUGUAAUACUUAUUGAACAGUUUUCCAAUAUGUUUUCAACAUUUUUAAUACUUAUUCAACAUUUUUUCAAGUACUUGUUCAACAUUUUUAAAAAUUUGUUCUACAUUUUUUAAUUUGAAUGCGUAAAUUAACAUUUUUUAUACAUGAUCAAUAUUUUUUCAAAUACUUGUUCAACAUUUUCAAAUACUUGUUCUACAUUUUUCUUAUUUUGAAUGCUUAAUUAAGAUUUUUCUAUAGAUCAUCAACAUUUUUCCAAAUACUUGUUCAACAUGUUUCAAAUGUUUUUGUAGACUUUUUUGACAGUAUAUAUAUUUAAAAUAUUUGAAAGUAUAAACAAAAUGACAAAAAUAAAGCAAAAAAACUAAAUCAGAUAACCUAAAAUAAAAGAGGAAAAUGAGGUUGUGGCCUCUCUCGCGCUUGGGCCGGCCCAAUCCGCCAUCUCCUCAGGGAGCAGUCCCCUCCCUCUCACAGAAAGCAAGAAAUAGGGGCGCCUGGAGGGAAGGGCAUAAAGCGUUUUUUUAACACCAAAUAGCUUUAUUUAGGCAAUGCUUAUGUGAAUACAAGCUAUUGGUUGGGGGAGGUGAGCCAAACAUGGCGCCCACUCUCAAAGAUGGGUAGAAGCCCUAAUAGGAUUGUGUGCUUCUAAAUUACAAGCUCGAGACUCAUGACUAAUAGAUGCUUCCUGGAGUAGCUCCUUCUUCACUACGAUCUCUUUGACAAUCACUCCAUAGUUGCAUGGAUUCUCCUCCUGAAUGUUCCGUACUACUUGCAAUCUGUAACUUGGACUGGUUCAAGUCCAGAGCCAGGGAGAGAGCCUCAUUACAGGCAAUAGCUUCCAGGAUUGCCGGCUGAGUAAGCCCCUCAAACACCACUGACGAUACUCCAAGGAACGUGCCGCUCGAGUCUCGACAGACUGCACUAACAUCAUCUUUGUUUUCUCCUCGGUUGACUCCACCAUCAACAUAAAUCUUGGCGCUGCCGAUAGCCGGGGCUUGCCAUCCGCCCCGGACCGUGCGUGUCCCGUUGGGGCUGCUCUUCUUCACAUAUGGACCAAAGCGUUUGCUGCAGAAUUACGUGGUUGGGCCUGGCCCAUUUACUGCAUUGGUGUAAGCGAGCUUGGGCUUUCAUGUCCGCCGCAACGAUUAUCAGGUACUCCCUCCGUUCGGAAUUACUUGUCUCGGAUAUGGAUGUAUCUAGGAGACAAGUAAUUCCGAACGGAGGGGGUAAUAAAUAUGGGCCGGUUAUUUCAGGUAAAUAUGGGCCGUUGGGCCUCACCGAUAAAAGGUGCAUAGCUGCUAUGGAGGAGGAGGAGGAGGCAUCGGGACUCUUACCAAGAAAAACAAAAAGGAGGCGAUAAAAGAGAGUAUUGUGGGGAUAGAACGGGGAAAGUAAGGGGAUUCAUUCUAGGGUUUCUUCAUCCCCUCCCAGAUGCCUCUCCCAAAUCAACCGCGGCCGCCGUCGAGCGCAUCUGUAAGCCCUCAAGCUGGGAUCCGCGGCUCGAGGUUCAACGUCGGGAGAGAUCGGAGCUUCUCAACAAGAUCAUGGACUCGUAUGAUCAUGUCCAGAAGCGACUCGCCAUGGCCACGGCAUUCAAAGAGGAGAUCUUCGUCGGCGCCGGCCUCUCCUUUGGCCUUCUCGACCCGACCACCAACAUCAUCUACAACACCCUCACCGCCUCCGACCUCUGCGCUGACGAAAUCAAGGCUGUUCAGCACCGGGACAUUGCCGAGCGCUCCCUGGACGGCCUUGUCGCCUUCCUCGUCUCCUUCUUCCGCUACCUCGCGGACUGGGAGGCCGUGCGCUACCUGCUCCUCGCCGACGCCGACCUCGUCUACGCGAUGCGCCUCAUCGUGCAUGACCGGUGCCUCUCUUUCUUCAAUAUCAACUCUGAUACCAGCAGGUCCGUUGUCCGCACUGCCCUAAUGUGCGCGGCGCGGGCCUCCAAGCACAUGGAUCCCUACCACCUCGUCCGCACCUGGCUGUCGCCGAUUCGCCCUCUAGAAGAAGCUGUGCACGCGAUCCAGAAUGACAUCAAUAAUUUUCACCUCUGUAUUCGACCCACGGCACCAUGCUCGCAAGCGUCCUCGCAUGUCAAUGCAACCCCUUGAUUUUGCUUGGAAGCGUGCAUUCGAGCUCCCUCAGUUGCCAUCCUCCGUCGUGCCGUAUCGACCUUACCAGUCCAUGAAGUUUGCGCUCCUCCAGCGCAUCCACGCCUUCUACCUGAAGGCACUUGCCCUGCUUCCGGUGAGUGAGCUCCGGUCUUGCUACCACCACAGCAUGCUCAAGGCUGGCCACUGCUAUGGCCCCUUCGAUCCUGUCGCCAACAUCAUUAUCAACACAAUCUGGUAUAACUCGGUCUCCCCACCGACCAAAAAACUCAAGCUUGACAUGAUCAGUACCAAUAGUCUGUUACGCAUCGAGGCUCGCUCCUUCUAUGGCCUUGUUUCUUUCCUCUGAGCUUCCGGCAAGAAACUCUAUGAAGCCAUGCGCUUCUUGCUUAUUUCUGAUUGCACUCUGGGCGAUAUGAACUUUUCGAACCCUUUGGUUGACUUCGGUGAUCAAAACAAAAUUUGUAAUAGCUUCAGGAUUGCCGGUGCGGCUGCUUGGCACCCUGACCCUGUCGCUCAAGCAGAGUUUAUUUCCUCAUGCAAGUAUCCGUUCUCAAGUCCGAGGAUUAAUGCUCCACUCGACUCUGCUGAUGUUGACCACAUUACCAGAAAGAUGUUUCAAGGACUCCCCGCCCCUGGCAGUUUGCUGCGGCGUCAAUCUGUUGACAUGCCCAAGCUCUGCCGUCGUGUUCAAUAUAAAAUUGACCAAUGGAUGCACGAGUAUACAAGAAUCUCAAAGAAAGUCAAAGCAGCGCUUGCCUCAUACAGAGUUAGUUCAUCUUGAGAUUUGUGUGUUUACUUCUAAUUAUCAUCCUGACAUGUUGCAGUCAUUGAUUUGCUCCUUGCCUCUGCCCACCUGCAGGAACCCUUGUAUCUUCAUGUUAUUUGUGGCGUCAACCAUAAUGUGUCUGGCCCUGAGUACUGUAUAGAUGGUCACAAACCCGUUUACAUAUACCAGCAUACUCAUGUUAAUUUUUUGGCAAGUCGAAGAGAUGGAAAUCCAGAACUCUUCUUUGCUGAACUUAGCAACGAUGAGGCAGAGGAUGGAGGUGGGAAGGUUUUGUGUUGUCCUGUGAGCUUUCCACAGCCACGACAAGGUAUCUUAUAUUUCUUCAUACAGCAAGUAGACUAAACUAACAUGGUAACAUUUGGACAUCUAUAAAACCACCUCUAAGGGUCUCUUUUUGAAGUCCUAAUGCUCUACUGCUAGUGCCAAGAUAUAAAUGUUUUUAAGUAAAUUGGAACAUUCGUAUGAACCCGCGCUGCUCUCUGGUAUUGUGGUCACCUCUAGGUUCUCUUUUUAAGUCCUAAUGGUCUUCUUUUAGUAAACACAAUUUUCAAUUGUCUAAACAACAGAGUUGGAUCAGAAUAAGGAAUAAAAGUCAAUUUGUUCGAAAUGAGACAAAGAAAAGAGUUUAAAGACGACUCAAAUUUUUUGGAAGUGUAAAUGUAUUCCAAAUUUGAAACCAGUACAUCAAUAGUGUUCCCUCCCAAGCUACCACUGGCAGUGUAAGCACCACUAUAUUAGUCCUGGUCAUCCACAUCUGAUCUACAUUCUAAAGCUCGGAUGUUCACAAACUGAUGAUUACUUUUGCUCGAAGUUGCUAUCCAGCAAGCUUCUGAGACAGGGAAAAAAAGGUCUACUAGGUCUCCUCCUUGCAAUAAUGAACUACUGAAUCUGAAGAAGUCAUCUAAGAGCUCAAUAAGUAGGCUGAACCAAGUUAAACUUUUGCUUAGAUGCAUAUCCUGCUAUGAAUUCGAUUUAUCUGGUAGAUAAUCAUAAUAGAUCAUACCAGUUUUUUG